UUGGGUUUUGAAGACAAGCAUGCAUGCAAACAGUUAUGCUUUGUAAUUAAUAAGAAGAUAUACUUCGGCAAUGGCCGUCUUUCUGUCCGUUUUUCUGGUGUUCAUUGAAGAAAUUUUGAAGGAUAUUGCUACCAAAUACUGUCUAAUGCCAUUGCAGAACACAAUUUAUGGAGAGAUAACAAAGUUCUGCCACUGUAAAGACCGCCAAGCUUUAACUUCUCAACCAAGUCUUCAGCAAAUAAGGCAGCCCUCCUUCCUGGAAUAUGGAAUUUAAACACACGCGAAAAAAUAUCGUCAACAGAACUCCAGUUGACAACAAAUGUCAUGUAAUUCAUAGGAUCUACAUAUAUAGCUAUAUUUAUUUUCGUAUAUGUGAGUAAUCCUUUCACUGCAGUCUUGUGGCAACAAAAAAAUGGUUGCGGCCAACAUGGCUAUCAAGGCACAGGGGAUGAUGAAAUAUAUGGCGUAGUAGAGGACCUGGCGACGGAUUUUGAGGGACCUUAAGUGUCUUAAUUCCAUGGUAUUUCGCUGGAUUCCACGUUAGUUGCUGAACAGACCACUCCUGAAGAAGUAGAAAGAGUGGAAAGAAUGCUCAAUAAAUGGCAUGCAUGCAUCAUGUAUAUCAUUCUGGAGCCGGUUGUAUCAAGCCCGCGUUUAUAUAGCUUAAA